rnacentral:lncRNA from 1 species
CCCAGCAGAAGGAGUUGUGGGGCUGGAAAGUAGGUGGUGUGGCUUAGGAGAGAGGUACAUGACUCACAGACUGUGAGGGUAUGUGUGUGAAGGGGUGUGGAAAAGAGGGCAGAAGACCAGCAGGUAAAUUUUUUAAUCUCACCCACAAUAUCUUCUUUUCUGUAAUUCCUUCUCCCACAGUUCUCCGUGAUCUCCCACAAUCCUCCAUGUUCUCCCACAUUUCUCUUUUCUCUCCGAAAAUGCUCCAUUCUCUCCCUAAAUUCCCUACUUCUCCCAGGAUUGUCUAUUCUCUCUUACAGUUCUCAGUGGCAUCUCAGUAGGAGGUGUGGUUUUGAUGCUGCACCACUGGCCCUAAAUGGAACAUGUGGCUAUCAAAACACCUGGUGGAGUGGCCCUAGCCGGGGAGGUGCUGUGUGACAUCCAGCUGGUUGUCCUGGUUGUGACUGGUUCUGUGGGUGCGGAUUCCGGAAAGAGGUAUUGCCUAGCGCUGUGGAUUUCAGAAAACAAAGGUAGAGAAAUAGUACAUUUUUUACAUAACCUCUUUCUAACUGUUUGCCUUAUGCUCAGAGGCCAUAAAACAGAUGUCCCCGUGGCGACCUGGUAGCAGACAAGGCUUGAUGGACUUUGCCCUCUUUUCUAUAGCAACUUCCAAGUCCCCCCACCAUGAGGUUCUUUUCUAGUUUGUUUGUUUCUAGUUUCCCAGUUCUCUGCAUCUUCCUCCCCUUUCAAGUGUAUGGUAAGGAACUAUAUAUACUUUCUCCAUUCUUCCACUUGUGACACUACUGUCCCUCAUUUUGAUGGACUUGCCUUAUGUUUAAUUGAUUCCUGCUCUCACAAGUCACUGUCAUUCAAGUACACAUCCAGAUGUAUUUAAACAUUGCGGCAGGACAACACGGCCAAAGAGACAAGGGAGUGGUGUCCGGGAGAGAGUCCCUUACUUUAUCUUUCUCAGGCAGCGCCCUUAGAAGGGCUCUUGGGGAGGAUCCACAGAGCACAGAGUUGGGAGCUGGGAGGGCUGAGUCCUGCACUCCCUCCUCCAAGAGCAGAUGUACACCCACUGUGUGAUCAACAUCCCCUGUACUCCUGCAGUUUAAGUCCUCUACCUGGAAAGACUUAGUUUGCCCAACAGGCAUUUUUUUGAUUGAGCCAUAAUAAAUAUCCAUCCCACCUUUCUUAUUUAAGUAGA